ensembl:lncRNA LINC01777 long intergenic non-protein coding RNA 1777
GCCAUUAUGCCUCUUACUGGGCAUGCUUGAGCCCACGGGCCCAACUCCUGAGAUCCCAUUCGGAAGCUGCUGAUCACCAGUUUCAAGUGUUUCUGUUUAUUGGGAGACUGCCUUCCUCUGGCACUGGCAGUGACCAAUUAUUAUUUUAGAGAGACUGUUAACGGCCUGACCAUCACCUGAUGAAUAUCAGGAAUGUGGCCUGACAUUCCUGGUACACGGAGCGCCUUCUUUUCGUUUAGAGCAUUGGUGUCUCCACAUUAGAAGCAUCCUAUGUAGCUGUUCUGCUUGCAGCUGCCCAAGUCUGCCUGGGCCUCCUGCAUGAGGUCAUGAGUCUUAAUAAAGCCACUGACCCACACAUUUGGAAUCGUACUGACUUUUCACAACUAACAGCCAACACAUUGCCAAGAAGCAAUUCAAUUGUUGAGGAUAUCACAUCAUGCCAGGGAAAGAGAGAUGGAAUUCAGAAAGCCUGGGAUAUUGCAGGACCCCCCAUUCUUCAUUCAUGAGGCUUAUCAUCAUUCUCUCUUCAUGAGCCCCAUGUGGACAGGGGCUUUAUCCAUCUCCUUUGCUUGGUCAUCUCUGGGUCCAACAUCCAGCCUGCCUGUGGCCGUUAAUAUUCUGCAUGAAGGGAUCAGUCUACACACAGAAACUUUGGCUGCCUGGUCUUGUUUCAUGAUGACUCUGGAAUUAUCAUAAUCCCAUUCUUUUUAAUUAUUUCCACCAUUCUGCUGUAUGCAGUUUAUGUUACAAUUAUACGUUGGCAACUAAA